UACGUAGGGGGCUAGCGUUGUCCGGAUUUAUUGGGCGUAAAGAGCGUGUAGGCGGCCAGGUAGGUCUGCUGUGAAAACUCGAGGCUUAACCUCGAGAUGUCGGCGGAAACCAUCUGGCUAGAGUCCGGAAGAGGAGAGUGGAAUUCCUGGUGUAGCGGUGAAAUGCGCAGAUAUCAGAAGAACACCCGUGGCGAAGGGCGGCUCUCUGGGACGGGUACUGACGCUGAGACGCGAAAGCGUGGGGAGCGAACAGG
rnacentral:rRNA from 1 species